UGAGGAACAUGACCUUGGCGGGGGAUAGCCGGCCCAACGGCCGGGUAAUACCGCGUACGACCACAUGGGGACAUCCCUGAGCGGUGAAAGCAGCAAUGCGCCGAUGGAGUGCCUCGCGGCCUAUCAGCUAGUUGGUGAGGUAACGGCUCACCAAGGCAACGAUACGUAGCCGACCUGAGAGGGUNAUCGGCCANAUUGGAACUGAGACACGGUCCAGCUCCGUAGGGAGG
rnacentral:rRNA from 1 species